rnacentral:rRNA from 1 species
ACGAACGCUGGCGGUGCGCCUUAUGCAUGCAAGUUGAGCGAAGCUUUUUGGUAGUUUACUACUAGAAAUGACUGAGCGGCGAACGGGUGAGUAACGCGUGAGCAAUCUACCUUAGUUACUGGGAUAGCCCGAGGAAACUCGGAUUAAUACCAGAUAUUCUUAUUUUUUCACAUGAAGUUUUAAGGAAAGGUCAGCCGAACUAAGAUGAGCUCGCGUUCUAUCAGCUAGUUGGUGGGGUAAAAGCCUACCAAGGCAACGACGGAUAGCUGGUCUGAGAGGACGAUCAGCCACACUGGGACUGAGACACGGCCCAGACUCCUACGGGAGGCUGCAGCAGGGAAUAUUGUGCAAUGAGCGAAAGCUUGACACAGCGACACCGCGUGUGGGAUGACGGUUCUAGGAUUGUAAACCACUUUCAGGAGGGAAGAAAAUGACGGUACCUCCACAAGAAGACCCGGCCAACUAUGUGCCAGCAGCCGCGGUAAUACAUAGGGGUCAAGCGUUGUCCGGAUUUAUUGGGCGUAAAGAGCUCGUAGGCGGUUCAACAAGUCGGUCGUAAAAGUUUAGGGCUCAACCCUAAAAUGUCGAUCGAUACUGUUGUGACUAGGAUACGGUAGAGGUGAAUGGAAUUCCGAGUGUAGCGGUGAAAUGCGUAGAUAUUCGGAGGAACACCAAUUGCGAAGGCAGUUCACUGGACCGUGAUCGACGCUGAGGAGCGAAAGCUAGGGGAGCAAACAGGAUUAGAUACCCUGGUAGUCCUAGCUGUAAACGAUGGAUACUAGAUGUAGGAACUGGAUUGACGGUUUCUGUAUCGUAGCUAACGCGUUAAGUAUCCCGCCUGGGGAGUACGGUCGCAAGACUAAAACUCAAAGGAAUUGACGGGACCCCGCACAAGCGGCGGAGCAUGCGGCUUAAUUCGAUGAUACCCGUAGAGCCUUACCUGGACUUGACAUAUAGGGAAAAACUGGAGAAAUCCAGUGUGCGUAAGCGCCCUUUACAGGUGGUGCAUGGCUGUCGUCAGCUCGUGUCGUGAGAUGUUGGGUUAAGUCCCGCAACGAGCGCAACCCCUGUCCUAUGUUGCCAGCAAGUAAUGUUGGGGACUCAUAGGAGACUGCCGGUGAUAAACCGGAGGAAGGUGGGGAUGACGUCAAGUCAUCAUGCCCCUUAUGUCCAGGGCUGCACGCAUGCUACAAUGGCAAGUACAACGAGUCGCAAUACCGCGAGGUGGAGCAAAUCUCUUAAAGCUUGUCUCAGUUCGGAUAGGAGUCUGCAACUCGACUCCUUGAAGUUGGAGUCGCUAGUAAUCGCAAAUCAGCAAAGUUGCGGUGAAUACGUUCUCGGGGUUUGUACACACCGCCCGUCAAGGGC